AUGAACGCUGGCGGCGUGCCUCAUCCAUGCCAGUCGAGCGAACAGAUCAGGAGCUUGCUCCUUUGACGUUAGCGGCGGACGGGUGAGUAACACGUGGGUAACCUACCUAUAAGACUGGAAUAACUCCGGGAAACCGGGGCUAAUGCCGGAUAACAUUUAGAACCGCAUGGUUCUAAAGUGAAAGAUGGUUUUGCUAUCACUUAUAGAUGGACCCGCGCCGUAUUAGCUAGUUGGUAAGGUAACGGCUUACCAAGGCAACGAUACGUAGCCGACCUGAGAGGGUGAUCGGCCACACUGGAACUGAGACACGGUCCAGACUCCUACGGGAGGCAGCAGUAGGGAAUCUUCCGCAAUGGGCGAAAGCCUGACGGAGCAACGCCGCGUGAGUGAUGAAGGUCUUCGGAUCGUAAAACUCUGUUAUUAGGGAAGAACAAAUGUGUAAGUAACUGUGCACGUCUUGACGGUACCUAAUCAGAAAGCCACGGCUAACUACGUG
rnacentral:rRNA from 1 species